UGUGGGAUAGCUGGGUCAAAUGGUGGUUCCAUUCCAAGUUUUCUGAGGAAUCUCCAUACUGCUUCCCAUAAUGGUUGUACCAACAUGCAGUCCCACCAGCAAU
rnacentral:pre_miRNA from 1 species